AUGAAGGCCUUCGGGUUGUAAACCUCUUUUACCCGGGAAGAAG
rnacentral:rRNA from 1 species